rnacentral:rRNA from 1 species
UGCGUAGGCGGUUUGAUAAGUCAGAGGUGAAAGCCCACAGCUCAACUGUGGAAUUGCCUUUGAUACUGUUAGACUUGAAUCAGGUUGAGGUUGGCGGAAUGUGGCAUGUAGCGGUGAAAUGCAUAGAUAUGCCAUAGAACACCAAUUGCGAAGGCAGCUGACUAGACCUGUAUUGACGCUGAGGCACGAAAGCGUGGGGAGCGAACAGGAUUAGAUACCCUGGUAGCC